GGUACAAUUGAUGGAAUGCUUGGAUUUGUGAAAAUGAAAAUAAAAAGUGCAAAUGUAGUCUUAGCACAAUUUUCUUUGAACGCCCAAUGCGAAGGGUCACCCACUGCCUUGUAUUCUAUUGCAAUAGGGUGCAAUUUGGGCCAUACUUUAAGUCGACCUUCGCAGCAGGUUGACGAACUCGUACUUUCCUUAGACAACUAGACUACCUCCCCUGCUAGUACAAACAAGACAGAGUGUAUUGUAGCUG
rnacentral:lncRNA from 1 species